rnacentral:ncRNA from 1 species
AGAUCAGCGUUGCUGCGGUGAAUACGUUCCCGGGCCUUGUACACACCGCCCGUCACGUCACGAAAGUCGGUAACACCCGAAGCCGGUGGCCCAACCCCCUUGUGGGGAGGGAGCUGUCGAAGGUGGGACUGGCGAUUGGGACGAAGUCGUAACAAGGUAGCCGUACCGGAAGGUGCGGCUGGAUCACCUCCUUU